rnacentral:rRNA from 1 species
CUCAGGACGAACGCUGGCGGCGUGCCUAAUACAUGCAAGUCGAGCGGGUUUAUCCUUCGGGRUAAGCUAGCGGCGGACGGGUGAGUAACACGUAGGUAACCUGCCUUUAAGACUGGGAUAACUAUCGGAAACGAUAGCUAAGACCGGAUAACUGGUUUUCUCGCAUGAGAGAAUCAUAAAACACGGAGCAAUCUGUGGCUUAAAGAUGGGCCUGCGGCGCAUUAGCUAGUUGGUGAGGUAACGGCUCACCAAGGCGACGAUGCGUAGCCGACCUGAGAGGGUGAACGGCCACACUGGGACUGAGACACGGCCCAGACUCCUACGGGAGGCAGCAGUAGGGAAUCUUCCGCAAUGGACGCAAGUCUGACGGAGCAACGCCGCGUGAGUGAUGAAGGUUUUCGGAUCGUAAAGCUCUGUUGCCCUAGACGAACAGCAWGAGGAGUAACUGCCUUGUGUG